GAAUUAAGAUCACUGUAGAAAAAGUCAAGAGUGCCAUCCACUGGUGGUUAUUUUUAAGUUACAGAUAGGACCCCAAGAAGGAAAAAAAAACAGUGACCAAUAAAACAGAUCAACCAAUAAACUAUUUUCCUCAAUUCAAACAUCACUGAAGAUCUCUUCGAUUUUACCAUUAGACAUACACCUAAAAUUAACCGACCAUGCUAGUGGAAACUAGUGACAAGAAAAAAACAAAGCAGCAGAUCAUCUGAAAAGCUUCUGUUUGGCUUGGUUAGUAACAGUUCAAUAAUCUGAACAAUCUAACGUUUGCCCAUCCUCUUAGUUUAAAGUGGAACCCACAGGAGGGUAGGAAAAUACCUACUCUGCUUUUCAAGGUUAAUACACUUUCCAAGAAACUUACCAGUAAGAAAACAUAUGAGCAUUCUAUACAACAAAUUAUAAAUUCUUAAUAAGGUAUGGUAGUUAAGAUAUGAACUCCAGAACAAAGGAAA